GUUCAGUAAUUUUAGCUCAUUUUAAGGCCAAGGUUGGAAAAAAAUAGUAAAAAGCUAAAAAUUGUUAGAUGCAAUAAUUUAACUAUCCUGGACAAUAUACUAAAAGUCCCCAUGUAUCCUCUUGGAGCUUUUUCCAUUAUGACAAGUUUUUUUUCGAUUUCCCUAUUACUCCCAUAUUGUUAAAAAACGUGAAAUUUUAAGUUCACUCAUAACAAAAAUGACUCGCAUCACUAGAAAGCUCAUAAAAACUACAUAUAAGACAUUUAAACAGUCACCUAAAUUUUUCAAGCGGUUUUCGAGUUAUUGCUGUUCCAAAUGUGACAAAUAGGCCAAAAUCUGGCAAAAAUCCUGGGUACUAGUCUGACAACACGUUUCCAACAGCUCAUAACUCAAGAAGAACUUGCAAAAUCAAGGUAGCCGUUUAAAUGUCUUAUAUGUAGUUUUUUGUAAGUUUUCUAAUGAUGUAACUUAUUUUUCCUAUAAAUGAAUCUGAAAUUUCACUUUUUUAACAAUAUGGGAGUUCACUAGGGAAAUCGAACAAAAAACUUGUCAUAAUGGAGAAAGCUCCAAGAGGAUAGAUACAUGAGGACUUUUAGUAUGUUAUCAAGGUUGCUGAAACAGUGCAUACGCUAAUUUUUGGCUUUUUACUAAUUUUUU